UACAGAGGUCUCGAGCGUUAGGCGGAAUCACUGGGCUUAAAGCGUGUGUAGGUGGAUGCCUAAGUACCUUGUGAAAUCCCACGGCUUAACCGUGGAACUGCUUGGUAUACUGGGUGUCUUGAGUCACUCAGGGGCGAGCGGAACAAAUGGUGGAGCGGUGAAAUGCGUAGAUAUCAUUUGGAACGCCAAUGGUGAAAACAGCUCGCUGGGGGUGUACUGACACUGAGGCACGAAAGCGUGGGGAGCGAACGGG
rnacentral:rRNA from 1 species